AAAAAUAGUAUAACACUAUAUAUCAUAUAAUAAGUAAAAGAUUGUUUAUAGUUAGUAGUUGAGUUGAAAGUUAUAAUUUCAAUUCUCAUAAGUUUUACAAUUUUCACAAAUCACAUAAUUUCCACACAGUUUUAAAAGUUAUUGUUCGAUAUUAGGUAAUAUAUAUAUAUAUAUAUAUAUAUAGCUUGUCUUAAUUUAUUAUAUUUUAUUAGUAUAAAAUUUUAGAGAAGGAAAAUAAAUUCAGAAAAGAUACGAGAGAAGAGAGUACAUAUAUCGUGCGAAAAUGAUUUGAAGAUAUUUUAACAAUUUAUAUCUGUUAUUUAAUUAUAUGAUAAUACAUAUAAUACAUAGUUAUUAUAUAUAUAUAUAUAAUAGGGAUGUCUAAACCGUUGGAGGCGGAAUGAUCGAAUUGACAGCGUCAAAACGCACAGGGUUGGUUGAUGAUGAAUAUAUAAAAAAAAGGUUUAAAUCGCAGAGAAAUCGAUAUCUUUUGUUAUCCUAUUUAGUGUGAUUGUGAAAAAACGUAAUUAAUUUUGGGUGUUAGAAUGAGUUGAAAUUGAAUUAGGGUGCAAUUACUACUAGCAAGUAGCAACUAAUCAAUUAUCAGUUUCCAACAUGAAACUAAGAAAAAAGCGAAAGUAAAAAUAAAAGGGGAUUAAAUAAAAUUAAAUUCAGACCUGAUUUGAGAAAAAGAAAGAAGGAAGUGAAUAGCGAAUCCUAAAGGAGAGUGUUUAGGGGGUUCAGUUAAGCAGCGGAUUACAUCGAUAACUUUAGAUCGGUUAUAUACAUUGUAACAAAAAUAAAACAAUGGUAAAUUUAUUAUUAUAAUAAUAAUUUUAUUAGAUCACUUAAAUUAAACCAUUCUAAGAAGCAUUUUACAAAAAUAAAAAAUAAAAAACGCGGGAACUCAUUGGUUUUCACUUUCACUCUUCGACGCCUUCACCUUCGCGAACCAACUUCGUGAAUCACUUCACCUUCGUAUUGCUUUCACUCCCUCCCUCAUGCGCGAACUCUUCAACGCGGGCGACGAAGAAUCUAAGUUUUUCCGCUUCCGUGCCAGUAACGAGUUUCUUUGUCUUCCCCUUCCAUCUGUCGAGAAGUGUUGCUAUUGAGAAGUGUCGAUUUCUUGUUUCUCCCAAACAGGCAUUGGUGAGUGUCAUCCAAUUUGGGGCUGGAAAGCGCUUAUACAUAACAGCUAUCAGAGCACUUAGAAAUGGUUCAACAAACAUGGAUGUCAUGGUUGCUUUGGGAACUACAACAUCAUAUGUUUAUUUUGUUUGUGUUCUUCUGUAUCGUGCUCUUAGUGGAUUUUGAUCUACAAAAUACUUUGAAACAAGUACUAUGCUUAUAACAUUUGUAUUGUUGGGCAAGUAUUUGGAAUGUCUAGCAAAGGGAAAGACGUCUGAUGCCAUUAAGAAGUUAGUAGAACUCACUCCUACAACAGAUUUACUGGUUGUUAAAGACAAAGGUCCAUGACACUUAUUUUUUAUGCGUAUUAUACUCUUAAGAAAAUGGAGAUGAAACAGCUAAUGUGUUGAUGACCUUGUAUUUAGGUUGAAAUUAAUGAAGGUUAUUAUAUUUAUCAUCAAGAUUUCAUCAUAACAUCAAAUUAUAACUUGUCAAUAAUUGUUUUCUUCUAGAUGGUAGAUCUAUUGAAGAAAGAGAAAAUGAUUCCUUGCUUAUUCAAACUAUUGACACAUUAAAAGUUCUUCAUGGUACAAAGAUUCCUACUGAUGGCAUUGUUACUUGGGACUCAAGUUAUGUAAAUGAGAGUAUGGUGACUGGUGAAUCUAUACCUGUUUUGAAGGAGAUCAAUACCUUUGUCAUUGGAGGUACAAUCAAUUGGCAUGGUGUCCUUCACAUCCAAGCUACUAAAGUAGGAUCUAAUACAAUUUUGAGGAUCUGAUACAAUUUUGAGUCAGAUAAUUAAUUUGGUGGAGACAACACAGAUGUCCAAGGCUCCCAUCCAAAAGUUUGUUGAUUAUCUUAGAGAAAGAGGAGGGCUGUCAUUAAGAAGUCAACUGCCAACAUAAAAUUGUUGAAUCAUUGUGACAUGGACUGACAUUGUGAUAGUGUUCCCCACUUGUGGGAAAAGACCCCAUUUUUAUUAUUGUUGUUGUUGUAUGCAUUUUACAUAGAUUGGAUUUCAUUUUGUGUGGUAAUGAAAGUUUUAGCUUAUGAAUCAAUUUUGAAAAUAA